GAUGAACGCUAGCGGCAGGCUUAAUACAUGCAAGUCGAACGGUAAGGUCUCUUCGGAGAUACACGAGUGGCGCACGGGUGCGUAACGCGUAUGCAACCUACCUUUAACUGGGAAAUAGCCCCGAGAAAUCGGGAUUAAUGUCCCAUAUUAUUCUUUGAAUACCUAUUCGAGGAAUGAAAGAUCCGGCGGUUAUUGAUGGUCAUGCGUGACAUUAGCUAGUUGGUGAGGUAACGGCUCACCAAGGCAACGAUGUCUAGGGGUCCUGAGAGGGUUAACCCCCACACUGGUACUGAGACACGGACCAGACUCCUACGGGAGGCAGCAGUAAGGAAUAUUGGGCAAUGGACGCAAGUCUGACCCAGCCAUGCCGCGUGAAGGAUGAAUGUCCUAUGGAUUGUAAACUUCUUUUAUGCAGGAAAAAUAUCCCGGUCGUGAACCGGGACUGAUGGUACUGUAUGAAUAAGCAUCGGCUAACUCCGUGCCAGCAGCCGCGGUAA
rnacentral:rRNA from 1 species